rnacentral:rRNA from 1 species
GUACGCUGGCGGCACGCCUAACACAUGCAGUCGAACGAAGUAGCAAUACUUAGUGGCAGACGGGUGAGUAACAUGUAGGUAUCUGCCCUAUGGCCUGGAAUAACACGAGGAAACUUGUGCUAAUACCGGAUAAGUCUUUACGGAGAAAGCUUUAUGCACCAUUGGAUGAGCCUGCACUUGAUUAGUUUGUUGGUAGGGUAAUGGCCUACCAAGACUAUGAUCAAUAGCUGAUUUGAGAGGAUGAUCAGCCACAUUGGGACUGAGACACGGCCCAAACUCCUACGGGAGGCAGCAGUGGGGAAUCUUGCACAAUGGAGGAAACUCUGAUGCAGCGAUGCCGCGUGAGUGAAGAAGGCCCUUGGGUUGUAAAGCUCUUUCGUCGGGGAAGAAAAUGACUGUACCCGAAUAAGAAGGUCCGG